AUUGAACGCUGGCGGCAUGCCUUACACAUGCAAGUCGAACGGCAGCACGGGAGCAAUCCUGGUGGCGAGUGGCGAACGGGUGAGUAAAGUAUCGGAACGUGCCCAGUCGCGGGGGAUAACGUAGCGAAAGUUACGCUAAUACCGCAUACGAUCUAUGGAUGAAAGCGGGGGCACGCAAGACCUCGCGCGAUUGGAGCGGCCGAUAUCAGAUUAGGUAGUUGGUGGGGUAAAGGCUCACCAAGCCGACGAUCUGUAGCUGGUCUGAGAGGACGACCAGCCACACCGGGACUGAGACACGGCCCAGACUCCUACGGGAGGCAGCAGUGGGGAAUUUUGGACAAUGGGCGAAAGCCUGAUCCAGCCAUGCCGCGUGCAGGAUGAAGGCCUUCGGGUUGUAAACUGCUUUUGUACGGAACGAAAAGGUUUGGCCUAAUAAGCUGAGCUCAUGACGGUACCGUAAGAAUAAGCACCGGCUAACUACGUGCCAGCCGCCGCCGUAAAAC
rnacentral:rRNA from 1 species